GGGGAAGCCCAUAUCUGAGUGGCAGAACACUUGCUUUGCGUGCAAAAGAUCCUAGGUUCAAUUCCUGGCAUCUCCA